CCUACGGGGGGCUGCAGUGGGGAAUAUUGCACAAUGGGCGCAAGCCUGAUGCAGCCAUGCCGCGUGUGUGAAGAAGGCCUUCGGGUUGUAAAGCACUUUCAGCGGGGAGGAAGGCGGUGAGGUUAAUAACCUCAUCGAUUGACGUUACCCGCAGAAGAAGCACCGGCUAACUCCGUGCCAGCAGCCGCGGUAAUACGGAGGGUGCAAGCGCUAAUCGGAAUUACUGGGCGUAAAGCGCACGCAGGCGGUCUGUCAAGUCGGAUGUGAAAUCCCCGGGCUCAACCUGGGAACUGCAUUCGAAACUGGCAGGCUAGAGUCUUGUAGAGGGGGGUAGAAUUCCAGGUGUAGCGGUGAAAUGCGUAGAGAUCUGGAGGAAUACCGGUGGCGAAGGCGGCCCCCCGGACAAAGACUGACGCUCAGGUGCGAAAGCGUGGGGAGCAAACAGGAUUAGAUACCCCGGUAGUC
rnacentral:rRNA from 1 species